GUGGUCCCCUUCUCGAGGAAUUGCUUGAGACCCUGCAAGAAAGUAGACUUCUGACCCCAUCCAUACUUCACAUUCUCCUUUUGCCACAACUAAGUUCACUGAAUUUGAAUGACUGUGCAUCUUAUGUUGGCGACACUCUUACCCACACCAUCACAGUACGCUGCAAGAAAACCCAUGCGCAAAAGGAGAAUCAUUCGCUCAUUGGAGAAACUAUGCCUGGAGAAUGUGGCUAUGCAUAUGAAAAGGCUAUGGGUUAAGGUUUACUCGAGGUAUGCCAAGCUGGCCAGGAAUCGUGACCAUGACGCCAUCACAGGACCCUUCAGCAUGCUGGCUGGCUCUCUUCUCCAGGAACUGCUUGAGAUCAUGCGAGAGAGAAAAUUUCUGACCCCAUCCAUACUUCACAUUCUCCUUUUGCCACAACUAAAGUCACUGAAUUUGAAUUACUGCUCAUCUUAUGUUGGCAACACUCUUGCCCACACCAUCACAGUACGCUGCAAGAAUCUUUCCUCGCUGGCUCUUCGUUACUGCUACCGGAUUCAUGCGGAUGCUUUGAUCGAGCUUGUGAAAGCUUUGCCGUGCCUCACCAAACUAAACCUUUCAUCCACCCAGUGCAACACACAAAGAGCAAUGGUCAUCAGAGUCAGCCACAGAAUGAAGCCAGAGCAAGGAACUUGUGCCUGCCUCCUCUCCAGUUCCCUGAGCUUGUUAACUUUUGCCUGGAGUCCCAUGAAUUCGUUACCCCGUUGCCUUCCCUGUAUAAACUGGUUUUGGGAAAUAUCCUGGAAUCAGUGUUCAAAUAUUCCCCAUGCCUGGAGAUCUUGCAUCUAUUCUGUCUGCCCUGCUCUCUGGAUGAGGCAUUUCAGAAAGCACUAAAACCACCUAGUACUGCCCUGCAAUGUCUUCAGGAGCUUGAACUAGCUCGGGCUCAGAUAUCAAUUCGCACCAUCGAUUUGCUGAUUUUCUCUGAGAAUCAGCUGAGAUUACUCUCCUUGGAGAAAUGCUUCCACAUAAGCCGGGUAGACUACAAUGAGCUCCUCCGAAGAGUCAGGAAAGAGAACUUGGAAGUAAUUAUUAUGCGGGAAUGAAAAAACCCAACUCGCUCCACUUGCUCAGAAUGGCAGCUCCAUUGCUCAUAGGGCCAGGACAGUACGUAAUUUUUUUCAAUAAAGCUUAUUUUAUACUACUAAAACCUUUGUCUCUGAAUUAUAUUGUGAUAAAAACACAAGAAGAAUUGGGUGUUCCAGAGGGACUGGAACAACAUUUGGAGGACCUAAAUGGGUUUGUUUAUUUAUUAUUUAAAACAUUUAUAUUCUGCCCUUCUCACCCCGAAGGAGACUCAGGGCAGAACACAACAUAUAUAUGGCAUACAUUCCAUUCCGGGCCAUAAAAUAAUUAUAAAUCUACAGAAACAUAAAAACAUUAAACAUUAAAAUGAGUUAUAUCUACUUUAAAAUCGGCUGUUUAAACCAACUCAGGAC
rnacentral:lncRNA from 11 species